CUUUCCAUUGAUUUGCUGCUCUAGUCUUUUAGUAAGCAGUUAAUACACAUGGGAGAGAACAAUAUUAGGCUGUUGUAAAUGGAGUUGGAGUAACAAUUUCAUCUCUUCUGUGAAGUCCAGAUAUUG
rnacentral:snoRNA from 1 species